rnacentral:rRNA from 1 species
AUGAACGCUGGCGGCGUGCCUAAUACAUGCAAGUCGAGCGAACGGACGAGAAGCUUGCUUCUCUGAUGUUAGCGGCGGACGGGUGAGUAACACGUGGAUAACCUACCUAUAAGACUGGGAUAACUUCGGGAACCGGAGCUAAUACCGGAUAAUAUUUUGAACCGCAUGGUUCAAAAGUGAAAGACGGUCUUGCUGUCACUUAUAGAUGGAUCCGCGCUGCAUUAGCUAGUUGGUAAGGUAACGGCUUACCAAGGCAACGAUGCAUAGCCGACCUGAGAGGGUGAUCGGCCACACUGGAACUGAGACACGGUCCAGACUCCUACGGGAGGCAGCAGUAGGGAAUCUUCCGCAAUGGGCGAAAGCCUGACGGAGCAACGCCGCGUGAGUGAUGAAGGUCUUCGGAUCGUAAAACUCUGUUAUUAGGGAAGAACAUAUGUGUAAGUAACUGUGCACAUCUUGACGGUACCUAAUCAGAAAGCCACGGCUAACUACGUG